GCCCGCGCCUCUGUGGCCUCUGAUUGGCUGCGGCCGGCUCUUAAAAGACGCGGCCAAUGGCUGCGAGCGCCAGAGGCCGGGGAGCAGGCGAGGUGUUGGGUGCUGGUCGGCUGUUAGAGCGCUGGUGGGAAUGGCAGCCGGGCGGGGAGAGCGGCGGCGCUCGGUGCCGGGUGGGUCGCUGCAGCCGGCUGCGGGGUUCGCCCUUUGUCUGCACCCUUCCAAAAUGGCUGCGGCCAGGGCGGGCGGCGACAGCUGCGCGGGCGCUCCCGGGGCCCCGGCGGUCAGUGAGGAGCAGGAGUCCUGGCAAGAAAACGCUUUCGGGGCGGAGAGGUGCGCAGAGGACGCCACGGACGCCACGGGUCAGCUCCUCUGACUUACAGCGGUUAGUAAG
rnacentral:lncRNA from 1 species